rnacentral:rRNA from 1 species
UCGAGAAUCUUCGGCAAUGGACGAAAGUCUGACCGAGCGACGCCGCGUGCGGGAUGAAGGCCUUCGGGUUGUAAACCGCUGUCAGAGGGGAUGAAAUGCACUAGGGUUCUCCCUGGUGCUUGACAGAGCCUCAGAGGAAGCACGGGCUAAGUACGUGCCAGCAGCCGCGGUGAUACGUACUGUGCAAACGUUAUUCGGAAUUACUGGGCUUAAAGGGUGUGUAGGCGGCCAGUUAAGUAGGGUGUGAAAGGCCUCGGCCUAACCGAGGCACUGCGCUCUAAACUGACUGGCUUGAGUGAGAUAGGGGUGUGCGGAACUUCCAGUGGAGCGGUGAAAUGUGUUGAUAUUGGAAGGAACGCCGGUGGCGAAAGCGGCACACUGGGUCUCGUCUGACGCUGAGACACGAAAGCCAGGGGAGCGAACGG